CAGCAGCCGCGGUAAUACGAAGGGGGCUAGCGUUGUUCGGAAUUACUGGGCGUAAAGGGCGCGUAGGCGGCCAUUCAAGUUAGAUGUGAAGGCCCUGGGCUCAACCUAGGAAUUGCAUUUGAUACUGUUUGGCUUGAGUUCGGGAGAGGUGAGUGGAAUUCCCAGUGUAGAGGUGAAAUUCGUAGAUAUUGGGAAGAACACCAGUGGCGAAGGCGGCUCACUGGACCGACACUGACGCUGAGGCGCGAAAGCGUGGGGAGCAAACAGGAUUAGAUACCCCAGUAGUCCCUGUCUCUUAUAC
rnacentral:rRNA from 1 species